rnacentral:rRNA from 1 species
AUGAACACUGGCGGCGUGCCUAAUACAUGCAAGUCGAGCGAACAGACGAGGAGCUUGCUCCUCUGACGUUAGCGGCGGACGGGUGAGUAACACGUGGAUAACCUACCUAUAAGACUGGGAUAACUUCGGGAAACCGGAGCUAAUACCGGAUAAUAUAUUGAACCGCAUGGUUCAAUAGUGAAAGACGGUUUUGCUGUCACUUAUAGAUGGAUCCGCGCCGCAUUAGCUAGUUGGUAAGGUAACGGCUUACCAAGGCGACGAUGCGUAGCCGACCUGAGAGGGUGAUCGGCCACACUGGAACUGAGACACGGUCCAGACUCCUACGGGAGGCAGCAGUAGGGAAUCUUCCGCAAUGGGCGAAAGCCUGACGGAGCAACGCCGCGUGAGUGAUGAAGGUCUUCGGAUCGUAAAACUCUGUUAUUAGGGAAGAACAAAUGUGUAAGUAACUAUGCACGUCUUGACGGUACCUAAUCAGAAAGCCACGGCUAACUACGUG